rnacentral:lncRNA from 1 species
UUCUACAACAAAAAAAAUUUUUCAUCAAAAUAUUUUUAUUAGAAAAUAACAAAAACGAACAGAAUUGCAUCAUUUAAAACACAAUUGAAAAUUAUCAAAAGCAAAUAUAUUUAAAAUUCUUCCUCCUGGAUUUUAAAUUUGCAAAAUCUCUAAUAACAUUUUUUAUUUUGAUAUUUUUGGCUACUGCUCCUUCUGCUGCACUGUUCCAACUCAAUGAAUGUUUCACGCUUUCUGUGGUGCAUUUAAUUUUUAUUGUAUUAUGUUGUUAAUUUAAAAAAAGUUAAAGAAAGUACAUAUAGAGGAUUUGGGCCUCCCACAUUGUGGGAUCCAGCACAUUGUAGUUCUGCCACUGGUUAAAAGAUUCCAUGACAUAUAACCUAUGUAUCCUUCUAAAUUGCUUAAAUCCUUGUUAGCUAUAGGGAGACUGUAUAUUCCUAUUUUUUUACUUUCUUUUUACCUGCUUUUUGUUAUUGCUUAUGACAUUAAACAAAAUAUUUCUUUUACUGAAGGUCAAUUUUUUCUCAGUAUUUCUUUCUAUUGUCCUUCUCAUGUAAACUAUCAGUCUACACAAACUCACAUUGUGAAACUGCUUGUUCUCCUCAUUACAAUUAAUCCUAUCCUAUUACUAUGCUCACAUUUUGUUUUUUUUUAUGUUUUUUCUUAAUGGGAGAACAUCAAAUAUAAAUUUUUUAUUAGGAAUUUGUAUUUGAUGAUCUUUUAUUAUUUGAAGUGUAUGUAGCUGAGG